CCGGGCUCCGGGCUCCGGGGUGGCAAUGCCAGACCGGGUUUUCCACCCAGCCGGGCACGAGCCCGCCGUCGGGGCAGGACGCCGGCCGGGCGGGGCUGCAAUGAAGACCCGGCAGGAAGUCCGGCCGCGCUCGGAACCGGCGCCUGGGACGGGGCAAUCGGCGCCCCCCGGCACAUUUCGAGGUUCCGCUGGGACAUCGGUCGCACCAAAAGCAGGAGCGCCUGGGUGGCCCAGUCGUUGAGCGUCCCUCCUUGGCUCGGGUCGCGAUCUCCCGAUUUGUGAGCUCAAGACCUGUUUUGGACUCUACACCCGCCGUGCAAAGCCUGCUUCGGAUUCUCUCUCUCCCCCCCCCCCCCCCCCCCGUCUCUCUCUGCCCCUCCC